UUUUAUUUUUGGGAUGUGCUUACUGCUAUUCAAACACCUCAACUACCUUGUAGUACUUCUAAUCCAUACAUUUUUUUAAUAAAAAAAAUCUUAUUUGAAAUUAAUAAACACACCCCAAAAAUAAAACUUAUGUGGAUCAAAGCACAUUCAGGACUUACACAUAAUGAGCAUGUAGACCAAUUAGCUAAAAAUUCCCUCAUCCAUGGAACAGUAACCAAAUAUCAGCCCUGCAUUCUAGAUGCUUUUGCUUGUUUAAGAAA
rnacentral:lncRNA from 1 species